GUUGAACGCUGGCGGAAUGCUUUACACAUGCAAGUCGAACGGUAGAGGGGGCAACCCCUCGAGAGUGGCGAACGGGUGAGUAAUAUAUCGGAACGUGCCCAGUCGUGGGGGAUAACGUAGCGAAAGUUACGCUAAUACCGCAUACGAUCUAAGGAUGAAAGCGGGGGAUCGCACGACCUCGCGCGAUUGGAGCGGCCGAUAUCAGAUUAGGUAGUUGGGGGGGUAAAGGCUCACCAAGCCAACGAUCUGUAGCUGGUCUGAGAGGACGACCAGCCACACUGGAACUGAGACACGGUCCAGACUCCUACGGGAGGCAGCAGUGGGGAAUUUUGGACAAUGGACGCAAGUCUGAUCCAGCCAUUCCGCGUGCAGGAUGAAGGCCCUCGGGUUGUAAACUGCUUUUGUACGGAACGAAAAGGUCUCUCUUAAUACGGGGGACUCAUGACGGUACCGUAAGAAUAAGCACCGGCUAACUACGUGCCAGCAGCCGCCGCCGUAA
rnacentral:rRNA from 1 species